CGCUUCUUCUUUGGAAAAAUAUAAUGUCUCUGCCUGUUCUGAAUAUGCCCCCGCCUGUACUAAAAACUCAUCCAUAAUGAAAAAAGUUUGCAGAAUAAAUUGUAUGAAAUUGGCUACUAUGGCUUUAAAUUGCUGGAAUACUCAGUACAGCAAUAUGUAAAUACAAAAAAUUUUUUUCUAUAUUGGUUGGUGCAUAGGUUGGGGUGAAAUGAGCCCACACCCCUACAUACAAAGAAAAAAGCACUAUACCUUGCACUCAAACUCCAUGUGUCCAAACCGGGUGCACUCCCAGGGCUCCAAAUAUCCAAAAAGCUGAAUCAAUAGGUUGCACUCACGGAUUCUUAAAACAUAGCUUUUAUUGUAUACUCCUAAAAAAAUCGACGUUUCAGUCCUGUUCAAGGACUUUCAUCAGGAUUAUAAAGACAUAACAUAACAAUUCAGCCAUAUAUAGGAUGCAGUAAAUUAC